GUGGGGAAUAUUGGACAAUGGGCGAAAGCCUGAUCCAGCCAUGCCGCGUGUGUGAAGAAGGUCUUCGGAUUGUAAAGCACUUUAAGUUGGGAGGAAGGGCAGUAAGUUAAUACCUUGCUGUUUUGACGUUACUGACAGAAUAAGCACCGGCUAACUUCGUGCCAGCAGCCGCGGUAAUACGAAGGGUGCAAGCGUUAAUCGGAAUUACUGGGCGUAAAGCGCACGUAGGUGGUUUUGUAAGUUGGAGGUGAAAUCCCCGGGCUCAACCUGGGAACUGCCUCCAAAACUGCAUGACUAGAGUACGGUAGAGGGUAGUGGAAUUUCCUGUGUAGCGGUGAAAUGCGUAGAUAUAGGAAGGAACACCAGUGGCGAAGGCGACUACCUGGACUGAUACUGACACUGAGGUGCGAAAGCGUGGGGAGCAAACAGGAUUAGAAACCCGAGUAGUCC
rnacentral:rRNA from 1 species